GGGAGAUUAGCUCAGUUGGUAGAGCAACUCGUUUACACCGAGAAGGUCAGAGGUUCAAGUCCUCUAUCUCCCACCA
rnacentral:tRNA from 1 species